rnacentral:rRNA from 1 species
UCAAACGAGAAAGGCUUACGGUGGAACCUAGGCACCGCAGAGACGAGGAAGGGCGUAUUAAACGAGCAAAUGCUUCGGGAAGUUGAACCAUAAGCGGAGAUCCGGAGAUUCCCGAAUAGGUCAACUUCAACUUCUGCUGAUCCAUGGGCAGGCAAAGACAACCUGCGAAUGAAACAUCUUAGUAGCCAGAAGGAAAAGAAGCAAAAGCGAUUCCCGUAAGUAAGCGGCGAGCGAAAUGGGAGCAGCCUAAACCGUGAAAAAACGGGGUUUGUGGGAGAGCAAUAACAAGCGUCGUGCGCUAGGCGAAUCAGUGGAGUGCGCGUACCGCUAGAUGGUGAAAGUCCAGUAGCCCGAAAGCAUCAAAACUAAGCUUACGCUCUGACCCGAGUAAGCAUGGGGCAACGUGAAAUCCGUGUGAAUCAGCAAGGACCACCUUGCAAGGCUAAAGUACCCUGGUGACCGAUAGCGAGAGUAGUGACCGUGAGGGAAGGUGAAGAAGAACCCCCAUCGGGAGGGAAAAUAGAGAACAUGAAACCGUAAGCCUCUCAAGCAGUGGGAGGGGGGCACAUACCCUGACCGCGUGCCCUGUGAAGAAUGGAGCCGGCGACUCAUCAGCAAGUGCUUGGUUUAAGGGAACCCACCAGGAGCCGUAGCGAAAGCGAGUCCUCAUAGGGCAAUUGUCACUUGUUAUGACCCGAACCUGGUGAUCUAUCCAUGACCAGCGAUUGAAGCUUGGUGAAACUAAAGUGGAGGUCGACCGACUGAUUUGAAGAAUCAGCGGAAUGAGUUGCUGGUUAGGGGUGAAAUGCCAACUCGACCACGAGCUAGCUGGUCUCUCCCCGAAAUGCCGUGAGGCGCGCAGUGACUGGACAUCUAAGGGUAAAACCCACUGUUUCGGUGCGGGCCGCGAGAGCGUACCAAAUCGAGGCAAACUCCUGAAUACUAGAAUAUGCCUCUCAAAUAACAGGGGUAAAGGUCGGCCAGUGAGACGAUGGAUAACUUCAUCGUCGAGAGGGAACAGCCCGGAAUCACACAGCUAAGGCCCCUAAAUGCGCUCAGUGCGAUAAAGGAGGUAGGGGGUGCAGAGACAGCCAGAGGUUCUGCUAGAAGCAGCCACCCAUGAAAGAGUGCGUAAUAGCUCACUGAUCGGACGCUCUUGCGCCGAAGAUGAAACGGGGCUAAAGCGGUCUGCCGAAGCUGUGGGACUGUAAAAAAAGCAUCCGGUAGGGGAGCGUUCCGUGUUAGGGAGAAACGCCCGCGCGAGCCGCGUUUUGGACGAAGUGGCGGAAGCGAGAAUCGUCGGCUUGAGUAAUGCGCAAACAUUGGUGAGAAUCCAAUGCCCCGAAAAACCUAAGGUUUCCUGCGCAAGGUUCGUCCACGGAGGGUGAGUCAGGGCCUAAAAGAUCAGCGAAAGGCAGUAGUCGAUGGACAACGAGGUGAAUAUUCCUGUACUACCCCUUGUUGGUCCGAGGGAUGGAGGAGGCUAGGUUAGCCGAAAGACUGUGAUCGGUUCAAAGGACGCAAGGUGAACCCUGUUUUUCAGGGUAAGAAGGGGUAGAGAAAAUGCCUCGACGCCAAUGUGAGUACCAAGGCGCUACGGCGCUGAAGUAACCCAUGCAUACUCCCAGAAAAGCUCCGAACGACCUCAACAAAAGGGAACCUGUACCCGAAACCGACACAGGUAGGUAAGGUAAGAAUACCUAGGGCGCGAGACACCUCUCUCUAAGGAACUCGGCAAAAAUGCCCCCGUAACUUCGGGAGAUAGGGGUGCCCCUCACAAAGGGGUGAAGUGACCAGGCCCGGGCCGACUGUUUACCAAAAACACAGGUCUCCGCAAAGUCGUAAGACCGAUGUAUGGGGUGACCGCUGCCCAGUGCCGGAAGGUCAAGGACCAUUUGGGACCCUAGAUGACAGGGGAGCCGGCGACCGAAGCCCCGGUGAAGCGGCGGGCCGUAACUAUAACGUCCUAAAGGUAGCGAAAUUCCACUUGUCGGUAAGUUCCGACCCGCACGCAAGGCGUAAACGAUCUGGGACUGUCUCGGAAGAGAGCCCCGGUGAAAUAGACAUGUCUGUGAAGAUUGCGGGAACUACCUGCACCUGGAACAGAAAGACCCUAUAAAGCUUUACUGUUCCCUGGGAUUGGCUUUGGGCCUUCUCCUGCGCAGCUUGGUGAGAGGCGAUAGAAGGCCCCCUUCCGGGGGCCCGAGCCAUCAGUGCGAUACCACUCUGGAAGAGCUAGAAUCUAACCUUUGUGUCAGUAACGUACGGGCCAAGGGACAGUCCUCAAGGUAGACAGUUUCUCAUGGGGCGUAGGCUCCUCCCAAAAAGGUAACCGAAGCGUGCAAAGGUUUCCUCNNNNNNNNNNNNNNNNNNNNNNNNNGCCAAAAUCUGCAUCAUCUCAUAAUCUGGUAUUAUAAUAGUGAUCAUUAACCUCCAUCAUUAGCAGCACUUGGUNUAAAAAUGAAGAGAUGGAUGCAUAAUUGAGCAUGUAAUACCAUGUGAAUUCCAUCUAGAUCAUGAGAACCAAGAAUAGAAUACACUUACUAGUAUGGACCAUCUUUUGGUAGCAAGAAUACAAGGUUUCCCAUGAAAGUUCUUUAAUGGUUUUAAAACUCCCUAGCGCCGAAAAUCCAGUCUACUUUCUUUGGGACCCCUGAAAAAUAUGAAUGAGUUAAGUUUGCUUUAACAUGUUAGGUACUAAAUACUACAGAUGUGAAUCAAUCUGGGUGUGCGCCCCU